rnacentral:rRNA from 1 species
ACGUAGGAGGCGAGCGUUAUCCGGAUUUACUGGGCGUAAAGCGUACGCAGGUGGCUUCGUAAGUCGGACAUGAAAGCUCCCGGCUUAACUGGGAGAGGUUGUUCGAUACUGCGGGGCUUGAGGUUGGGAGAGGGACGUGGAAUUCCCGGUGUAGUGGUGGAAUGCGUAGAUAUCGGGAGGAACACCAGUGGCGAAGGCGGGUAACUGGACUGCAACUGACGCUGAGGCGCGAAAGUGUGGGGAGCAAACAGGAUUAGAUACCCUGGUAGUCCCUGAGCGGG